rnacentral:pre_miRNA from 1 species
UGAUGGCUGCACUCAACAUUCAUUGCUGUCGGUGGGUUUGCAUCCGAAUCAACUCGCUGAUCAAUGAAUGCAAACUGCGGACCAAA